GCGAUUUGAUCCCACAGGGCAACUCCUAUUGAAAACCAAGAUAACACAAAUAUUUUCAAUUCUUCAAGUUGAACCCAGCCUAAGUAUUUUGUUUUGUGGGUGAUCUCUCUGCUCUUUUAUUAAGGGAAGAUCAUUUUAUGAGAGCUAAGAGUAUUUGCAUUCCUAGCAUGGGAAGAAGUUUAAAUUCCCAACCAACACAUUGUUCAAGCAAGUAAAAAGAACUGGAGAGUUUCCGCAAGGUAAGUGUGUUUUUGAGCUGCAGUAUUCUGAGCUUGGUGAUGAUUGAAGGUCCUGGAACAGGAGACAGCAGGUUUUAUUGGGCUGGAAUAUGCUGCUUGGAAUUGUGGCCAUGAGAUGACGGGCCUGAGGACCAAAGGCACCAGUGUAGGAUUGACAAGAUAGAAGGGCAGAAACGUCUUGAUGUCGUGAUGAUAUCACUGAGCCACUGUUACAACCCUGGGAUCAUGUACCCCGAUCUCUUGCUGAAGCCACUUUCAGGUGGAUAUUCUGUGACAGCCCAAAGUUUUCUAAGUAAAUACAUCCAGUGAGAAGGUGGCCAUGUGUUCCAAUAGCGCACAGAACCCUGAAGAAGCACGUGGCCUGUGGCCUCUGGUUAUCGCGAAUUUCUGAUGUUCACAGUUGUAGUUUGGCAUACUCCUCUUGGAAAAGGUAGAAGACCACGACUUGCUUGACUGUGGUCCGAGAAUAAUCCAUCGGCUCAUGUUGGCAGAGCCUAAGGCUGUGAACUGUCUUCUCAUUACUGAGGAAGCAGCGAGCAUCAAUGUCAUAUUCAACCUGAGAAAGGAAAGAACUUUGCUCCAUAUUUCACACGAUGUUUCUUUACCUUUCUCUCCUACUUCCCAUAAUCUUAUCUUUUCUUUGACUUCAGAGAACUCCUUUUACUUUUCUAUUUUGUCUGUUCUGAUGUGACUAACUUCUUCAAUACGGUAAAGCAAUGGAAAGAAAGCUGGCUGACUGACUCAGAGCAGUGCCAAAAAUGUACGUAUGGAAUGUCAGGACAUGCUCUAUUGAAGACGCAGAAAUUUAGUUAAUCUCCAAAGGAAUCCAACCCUCCCCCCUCCUCACCACCAUUGCUGCCCAAAUUUCACAUCCUUUAGAAGAAUAAACUCUUCAAGAAGAGAAAUCAGCACAGUAACUUCUGAAAUAAACCUAUUUUUUAAAUGGAUAUAUUCCCUAGAGAAGAGUUUCUCCCAGGCCUUUGAGUUGUACCAUUUCCAGUAACAGUGGUUUUGGAUUUUCAGUUUAGGAUCUGCGGAGAGGAAGAUAUGCCAGUGGGAAGUCACUGUGGAAGACAGUUUGGCAGUUUCCUACAAAACUAAGCCUACCCUUACCGUACCCUCUAGCUAUCCUGCUCCUCGGUAUUGACCCAAAGGAACUGAAAACGUGUCCACACGCAUACCUGCACUCGGAUGUUUAUAGCAGCUUCAUUCAUAACUGCCAAAACUUGGAAAGAACCAAGACGUUCUUCAGGAGAACAAAAUGGAACCCUCCUCCAACAGACCUGUUCUGCACCAGCAGAUGAAGCGUUGGGUUCUGCCAAACGACCUCUAUCAUUUUAUAACAGCACUGUUGGGGGGAGGGGCAAAGCAUAUAGAUGGUAAGCACAUUUUCUUGCUUAAUUUUGCGCAAGGAACAAAGGUUAUCCAAAGAGGGCUGGAUUUUAGUGAACUGCACAGAACCCAGCAGAGAAAAGAGGUGUGGAAAAUGGCAAUUAGGUAAGAUAUGACAAUUUUCUACAAGUUUAUAAAGCUCAAACUUAAGAGAAUACUUUUGAGAAUUUGAAGAAGUGUAUGUGAGGGAUGUUAUGACAUUAGGUGAAGUGGAGGAAGGAGCAGAGAGAGGCUGAGGUAGACCAAGAUCACUGCAGCAGCCUUUGAUUUGGUUUAAUUGAUGGAGCACAAAAAAAGAAAAAAAGGAGAAAAAGAAUGAGGAGAUGGUGAAAUUGACAAAUGUAAAAUACUGUAAGAGAAAUUCCUGUAGCUUGUCUAGAGCAGAAGUGGAAAAGUUUGUUAUACUAGGAAAUAGUCAUUUAAAUGGAAAGAUGGUUUUUCAUGUCUUUUAUAGCUUGUUGUAAAUGAUUAAUUAAAUACUCUGAGUGUUUCAUUAAAAACAUGCAUUCCUUCCAAAUUAAAGUGUGUAGAGACUCG